AUGCCAUCUCUGCGAGCUCGCCAGUGUGCAGCCUCGCUCCAGAACACCUGCACGAUGGGGAAGGUGGGAGAGGCCCUGAGCGUCCUGCCACAGGGGGUCCUCGGGGAAGAGGACAGAGGUGGGGCCGAGGACUACCACCCUCCUCAGCGGCCCCUGACUGCUUCUCCCCCGGGCAACCCCGCUGGGAAGACGGCGGAUCCUGAUUCUAGGCUGAGAAGGCAGGCAGUGACGACGACUACCCCAGCGCACCAGCGCCGGAAGCCGCCCGGGCCUGCCGGAAGUGACGUCAUGCCGCGCCGGCCCCGCCCUCGAGCGUUGGUGCCCUCCGCGCGCCCGCGUUCUGUGCCAUCCGGGAUGGGCGUCUCGUUCCGAGCUCCUGACGGGGACGAGAAAUGGCACUGCGCUGGCCUCCGAGAGCGAGACGGAGAAGGACGCCCCAGAAGCCCUCAUUGCCCAUUUCCGGACACUGGACGCCAGAAAGACAAAGAUCACAGAGACCGCGUGCUCCCUGCCUUCUGCACGGAGCCCAAGCUGAGCCCACAUCCUGAGAAACCAGAAAUGAAGGCACCGAUGGAAGAGAGAAAGCACCAGUGGAGGAUGAGUCCCCAGAGUGGACGAGGGGUGGGGAAGCAGGCGGAGUGGGAAAAGGUUAGCGUGAGGACGAGUUGGAUGAGAAGCUGAGGGGAGGCUGAGGGUGAUGCGUGCCCGCCAGCCUUCCAGGCACAGCCUGAGCUGAGCAGUGUGGUCGGGAGGGACAGGGAUCCCACUGGGUUCGUGCACUGGCCAAGGACCUCCCCUGGCAGGACUCAGAGCAGCAUUAUGUGGCCUGGAGGCUCCCAGUCCAAGGACGGAAGAGAGACCGUGAGGUCCGGCCCCGGCCACUGGGACUGGAAUUUGGAGCUGUCUCCAUCGUAGAUGCCCGGCAGGUGAGUGCGAGCAUAGCGGGAAUAACAGGGCAGGAGAAGGUAGAAAGCUCACCUUCAGCUGUUCUGCUCCCACACUGGGAGGCGCGGGAUGGAACUCCUGCCUCAGAACCACUGAGACUCUUCUGUCCUUCAUUUGAUCUCAGCCAAAGGCCAAGAAGCGAUCUCCUGUCCUUCUCCACUUGCAUUGGGUGAAAGUUUGCCCGCAGCA
rnacentral:lncRNA from 1 species